AAACUUCCAUUGAAUUUUAUAUAAUGAUGCUUUUCUUAUUUUGAUAUUAACAUGAAUUUUCAUGUCUCUAAACUCAUAUCAGAUGUUUUGCCUACUCUGGGCUUAUUGUGAGUGGUGAUGAGAGUUCAUCUAAAAUUUAAAAUAUGUUGUAAACAAUCUACAAAUUAGUGGAUCCAAACACAAAUAAUCGAGUACAGAUGGUGUUGAUGCUACUUGGGUAGUGAUGGACCAGAGGAAAAUGUAAUGGGAAAGAAUAUGCAGCUGCAGUGAGCUACUUCACUAAAUCUGGGCUGCCUAUAUGCUCCGGGAGUUAUUUUUCUCGAAGGUCCUUCCUGUGGGGGAGUGUACAGUGAUAACCCCAGGUUCCACGAUAACACAUUGGCAUAUGAAGAAAAACCACAUGCUGCAUUCUUUACCUCAUUCAUUGUUUGAAUUGAUCAGCUGAUUUGGUCUUUAGGCCUGGGUUCUUUCCCUUUCUCAAAACCCCAUCUGAUUCUGAUUCUCUUCCCCUCUCGUGGUUGAUGGGGACAGUUCCUGGUUGGAGGAAGACUGUUUUUAAGACAAGAGAAUGCGGGUGUCUGCUCUCCUCUACUGGGACUUACAUCCGCGUUAAUACGAUUGGGAACAAAGGCCAUGAUUCCUGCCCAUGCCCUCCCUGCACCACAAACCCUGGGUCAGUUAGGACAGAGGAGGAGCCAGAAACAUGAAAGCUUCACAUGUGAGAUAAAUGCACUCAAAGACGCCUCACAAGUAGCUCUUUGGCGCUUCAGAUGUAAAAUGGAUCACUCCUCAAUCUGUAAUAGACCCUUCCAUGGAGCUCUUCAAUCAAACCUCAGAAUUCAAGGCGUUUUGUAGCAUCCUAAACAGAAGGAUAUUGAAGGGAGCUGAUUCUGCUGUGAUCCUUGUGCUUGUUGUCAAAGCGCUUGGGAUUGAAGAGACUGUUGGCUACAAUUGACUGUGACAAUUAGGAGAUGAUCAGAGUCCUAGAGUGGAGCACUUAAAGGGUAAUUUACAUGUCAGUUUGUCGAAUAAAAAAAAAAGAUAUUCAGCUAAGGUUUUUUUCCCCCCUCCGAGCCUUGUAAACUGCAAUUUGUGCUCUGGUUAGAAAAACCUGGCAGAGGAGUUAGGCUAGCCAUUACCAUUUGAAAAGAAGCAAUCAUAUAAGGCCGCUGCUGAGCCCUUUGUCCACUAAAAAUGCUGAUUUGCAGGCGGUGAGUGAAAAAGUGGAACUGUCACUAAAUAAAACCUUGAGCUAGGUAACUACCUCCCUCCCACCCCAUGGUGGCUUUUUUGAUGUUUGUUAAAGGUGCUUUAAAAAAAUGGAUCUUAAAUCCUACACUUACUAUCAUUGUAACAUUGUUAUUGGUUAUGAAUGACCUUUCCUAAAAAAAAUAAUAAAAGGAUGCAUUGAGGAAGCGGUAGGGGGAACGCACGCCAACCGUCAAUGGAAAGGGCUAAAGCUGGCUACCAGAUGUAUCUUAUUCAUUUCCCUUUUGUACAUCAUCACAAUUUUCCUCUAGUCCAUCCUGUGUGCUGCGCUAUUUCUCCCCUACUGUAUCAGUGUGCUCCUAGGCGUUUCCGUUUUAUUUACACUCCAAUUUUAAAGUGGGAACUGUAUUUCUAACCUUUGCAUGUUUAGCCUAUUCGAGUGCAGUUGGCUAAGUUCUUUCCAGUUAUUAUGAAUAAAAGUGCUAUGUAUACUACAAUUAAUGCAGGUUCAGUCCAUGAUGGGCUGCCGUACACAUGUGGUCAUCUCUUUACUUUUCCAUCAGGUAAUCUACA